GACAUGGCUCAGUGAUAAGAGAGUAUCAGCUUUGCAUGCAGAAGAUUCCAGGUUCAAUCCUUGGACA
rnacentral:tRNA from 1 species